rnacentral:lncRNA from 1 species
CUCCUACAUCUCUCCCUUUGUUGCCGCCUCCUCUCCUUGGAUGUGGAUCCUUCUUGGGCAUCCCAUUUGCUGGUGUGAGGUAUCACACCAGCACAUCUCCUCCCUUAUCUGGUUGGCUUUCGAAGGUAAUUGGAUUGGAGUUCAUCUCGCUUUUCUGCGACAUUUGACGUGCAUGCGAAGUAGAGGAUCUGCACAUCUAAGCCUCCACAAAGAUUUAUAUUAGAUAAUUUGAGAUUCGAUCUCUGGUUCCACUAUAAAUCAGGUAAGAAUUUGAUCCUUAAUCAUGUAGAUGAAUAAAAAAAAUUUUAGAUGCAACCUAGGCUUUCUGAGGAGAAACAGUUUCUUUCCUUUCAACAACAACCAGCACCCCACCCUCUUUAGUCGGCCAUGAGGAGAGAGAGUCUCAGUAAAAGUGGACUAUAAGGAUCC